rnacentral:rRNA from 1 species
GACGAACGCUGGCGGCGUGCUUAACACAUGCAAGUCGAACGGAAAGGCCCUGCUUUUGUGGGGUGCUCGAGUGGCGAACGGGUGAGUAACAUGUGAGUAACCUGCACUUGACUUUGGGAUAACUUCAGGACACUGGUGCUAAUACCGGAUAGGAGCUCUUGCUGCUUGGUGGGGGUUGGUAAGUUUCGGCGGUUGGGGAUGUACUCGCGGCUUAUCAGCUUGUUGGUGGGGUAGUGGCUUACCAAGGCUUUGCCAGGUAGCCGGCCUGAGAGGGUGACCGGCCACAUUGGGACUGAGAUACGGCACAGACUCGUACCGGAGGCAGGAGUGGGGAAGAGUACACAAUGGGCGGAAGCCUAAUGCGGCGACGCCGCGUGCGGGAUAACGGCCUUCGGGUUGGAAACCGCUAUCGCCUGUGACGAGGCGUGAAUGACGGUAAUGGGUGAAGAAGCACCGGCUAACUACGUG